rfam:Myotis brandtii contig277497, whole genome shotgun sequence.
GGCGGUUCUUAAGUGACAUACCCCGGAAUCAGCCUCCCUCCUCUCUGGUUCUGGGUGGGUCACCUGAGAACUACA